CGCCCGGCCUAGCCGGGCGUCUGCUUGAUGACUCUAGAUAACACCACAGAUCGUACGGUCAUAGUACCGGCGACGUAUCCUUCAAAUGUCUGACUUAUCAGCUGUCGAUGGUAGACUCUGUGUCUACCAUGGCGCUCACGGGUGACGGGGAAUCAGGGUUCGAUUCCGGAGAGGGAGCCUGAGAAACGGCUACCACAUCCAAGGAAGGCAGCAGGCACGCAAAUUACCCACUCCCGGCACGGGGAGGUAGUGACAAAAAAUAACGAUACGGGACUCAUCCGAGGCCCCGUAAUCGGAAUGAGAACAUCCUAAAUCCUUUAACGAGGAUCUAUUGGAGGGCAAGUCUGGUGCCAGCAGCCGCGGUAAUUCCAGCUCCAAUAGCGUAUAUUAAAGUUGUUGCGGUUAAAAAGCUCGUAGUUGGUUCUGCGUGCCACGCUGUCGGUUCACCGCCUGUCGGUGCAACUGGCAUGCCGUGGCAUGUCCUGUCGGUGGCGGAUAGGCUUCGCGGCGAUCUUUGCGUAAUUACGUUACGUAAGGGCGUCGCGUCGUCCUUGUACGCCGGCUCAAUCCUACCGCGGUGCUCUUUACCGAGUGUCGAGGUAGGCCGACACAUUUUACUUUGAACAAAUUAGAGUGCUUAAAGCAGGCUCUUAAAUCAGCCUGAAUAGUGGUGCAUGGAAUAAUGGAACAGGACCUUGGUUCUAUUUUGUUGGUUUUAGGAAUCCAAGGUAAUGAUCAAUAAGGACAGGCGGGGGCAUUCGUAUUGCGACGUUAGAGGUGAAAUUCUUGGAUCGUCGCAAGACGCACUAGAGCGAAAGCAUUUGCCAAGUAUGUCUUAAUUGAUCAAGAACGAAAGUUAGAGGUUU
rnacentral:rRNA from 1 species